AACAAACGCUGGCGGCGUGCCUAAUACAUGCAAGUCGAACGGGGAAAGCUUUCGGGUGAGUACUAGUGGCGCACGGGUAAGUAACGCGUGGAUAAUCUGCCUUAGAGUGGGGGAUAACUAGUCGAAAGAUUAGCUAAUACCGCAUAAGACCACAAGAACUGCGGUUCAAGGGGUCAAAGGUUUUUCGCUCUAAGAUGAGUCCGCGUAAGAUUAGCUAGUUGGUGAGGUAAUGGCUCACCAAGGCGACGAUCUUUAACUGGUCUGAGAGGAUGAUCAGUCACGCUGAAACUGAGACACGGUCCAGACUCCUACGGGAGGAAGCAGUAGGGAAUAUUGCACAAUGGAGGAGACUCUGAUGCAGCGACGCCGCGUGAGUGAUGAAGGCCUUCGGGUCGUAAAGCUCUGUCGCAAGGGAAUAACACAAUGAAUGUACCUUGCAAGAAAGGAUCGGCUAACUUCGUGCCAGCCGCCGCGGUAACAC
rnacentral:rRNA from 1 species